ACUGAAAAAAAUGACUUUUUGGUGUAGUAAACUCUAUUACAGUAUUCGUCUUAAUUUCUACUUUGUAUUUUUAAGUUUCUGUAAGAACUAGAAUUUCUGAAGUAAAAUUAAACCUUUUUUUUAAGUAAUACAUGAAUUUUGGAGAAAGAGUAAGUUUUACUUAGAUUUCCUUAAACUAUUUAAAUGCUUAAUAGUAGUAUGAACAUAAACCUACAAAUACUGCAUAAACUUUACUCAAAAAAUGUUGCGUUUCGAAACGGUCGCAAGCGCAUGCGCACUGUAGCUCACAGCAGGACCGCUUCUGCUCCGAGUCCGACUAAAGACGUUACAGGAUCACACACAGAGCAAGAGGUGGUCCCGACGACAGUCAUUCUUCAGGAAGCAAAUCACAUAAAAACAUUAUCCUCAUUAUUCAGGGUGUCCUUUGGAGGAGCCAGUGGACUUUGUAGACGGUUGGACUUGAGGUCUAGGGAGAGGAGGUAGAGGAGGAACCGUUAUUCGCAGCCUUAUACUGUACCCUGGGGAGAAGGAGGAGGAACUUAUUGAAGACUGCUUGGAGGACAGCUGGAGUGACGUCAAUAAACAUAUCCUGAAAAUACAUGUUCUCCACGGUGCUGAUGAGGAUCCAGUUGAUGUCUCCAUCCUUGAAGGCCUGGAGAUUUUGGCAGCAUUCAACAGUACUGCAAAAGCCUGCUCGCUCCUCCUGGGACUGAAAUAUGCCCUGAACUUGGCAUACCCUCCACUGAUCUCUAUUUAUUCACUGGAUUGCUGAUUCGCCGUUGUUAGUACACAUCUCUAUGAAGCCACCAGCCGCCAUAUUGGUACUCCUUAUUUUCCCCCAGUAACUUGGGAAUAUGUGCUCUACAGCAUUAAAUAACGAGGAUUUUCUCAUGUUCAGGGGAGGCUUAAAACGUUUAAAAUGU